CCUACGGGAGGCAGCAGUGAGGUAUAUUGGUCAAUGGACGAGAGUCUGAACCAGCCAAGUAGCGUGAAGGAUGACUGCCCUAUGGGUUGUAAACUUCUUUUAUAUGGGAAUAAAACGUUCCACGUGUGGGAUUUUGUAUGUACCAUAUGAAUAAGGAUCGGCUAACUCCGUGCCAGCAGCCGCGGUAAUACGGAGGAUCCGAGCGUUAUCCGGAUUUAUUGGGUUUAAAGGGAGCGUAGGUGGAUUGUUAAGUCAGUUGUGAAAGUUUGCGGCUCAACCGUAAAAUUGCAGUUGAAACUGGCAGUCUUGAGUACAGUAGAGGUGGGCGGAAUUCGUGGUGUAGCGGUGAAAUGCUUAGAUAUCACGAAGAACUCCGAUUGCGAAGGCAGUUCACUGGACUGUAACUGACACUGAGGCUCGAAAGUGUGGGUAUCAAACAGGAUUAGAUACCCCUGUAGUC
rnacentral:rRNA from 1 species